GACGAACGCUGGCGGCGUGCUUAACACAUGCAAGUCGAGCGGAAAGGCCCUUCGGGGUACUCGAGCGGCGAACGGGUGAGUAACACGUGAGUAAUCUGCCCUUGGCUUUGGGAUAACUACCGGAAACGGUGGCUAAUACCGGAUACGACAACCGUCUGCAUGGGCUGGUUGUGGAAAGUUUUUUCGGCCAGGGAUGUGCUCGCGGCCUAUCAGCUUGUUGGUGGGGUAAUGGCCUACCAAGGCUUCGACGGGUAGCCGGCCUGAGAGGGUGACCGGCCACACUGGGACUGAGACACGGCCCAGACUCCUACGGGAGGCAGCAGUGGGGAAUAUUGGACAAUGGGCGGAAGCCUGAUCCAGCAACGCCGCGUGAGGGAUGACGGCAUUCGGGUUGUAAACCUCUUUCAGUACCACGAAGCGCCGAUGAUGGUGGUGACGGUAGGUACAGAAGAAGCACCGGCCAACUACGUG
rnacentral:rRNA from 1 species